GAUGAACGCUGGCGGCGGGCUUAACACAUGCAAGUCGAACGAAGCAUUUAAGACAGAUUGCUUCGGCUGGAAGUCUUUGAUGACUGAGUGGCGAACGGGUGAGUAACGCGUGGGUAACCUGCCUCAUACAGGGGGAUAGGAGCAGGAAACGGCUGGGAAUACCGCAUAAGCGCUCAGUACCACAUGGAACAGAUUGAAAAACACGCGGGGCAUGAGAUGGAACCGCGUGUGGCUGGCUUGAGGGCGGGGUAACGGCCCACCUAGGCGACGAUCAGUCGCCCACCUGGGAGCGGGGCCGCCCACCUUGGGACUGCGACACGGCGCAGACUCCUACGGGAGGCAGCAGUGGGGAAUAUUGCACAAUGGAGGAAACUCUGAUGCAGCGACGCUGCGUGAGUGAAGAAGUAGUUAGAUAUGUAAAGCGCUAUCAGCAGGGAAGCUAGUGCCGGUACCUGACGAAGAAGCUCCGGCUAACUACGUG
rnacentral:rRNA from 1 species